AGAGUUUGAUCAUGGCUCAGAACGAACGCUGGCGGCAGGCCUAACACAUGCAAGUCGAACGCCCCGCAAGGGGAGUGGCAGACGGGUGAGUAACGCGUGGGAACGUGCCCUGAGGUACGGGACAACCAGGGGAAACUCUGGCUAAUACCGUAUGAGCCCCGAGAGGGGGAAAGAUUGAUCGCCUCAGGAUCGGCCCGCGUCGGAUUAGCUAGUUGGUGUGGUAACGGCGCACCAAGGCGACGAUGUAUAGCUGGUCUGAGAGGAUGAUCAGCCACACUGGGACUGAGACACGGCCCAGACUCCUACGGGAGGCAGCAGUCGGGAAUCUUGCGCAAUGGGCGAAAGCCUGACGCAGCAACACCGUGUGAGCGACGAAGGCCUUCGGGUCGUAAAGCUCUGUUGUUGGGGACGAAGGGUUAGGGGUUAAUAGCCCCGAGCCUGACGGUACCCUUCGAGGAAGCCCCGGCUAACUACGUGCCAGCAGCCGCGGUAAUACGUAGGGGGCGAGCGUUGUCCGGAAUUAUUGGGCGUAAAGAGCGUGUAGGCGGUUCGGUAAGUCUGCCGUGAAAACCCAGGGCUCAACCCUGGGCGUGCGGUGGAUACUGCCGGGCUAGAGGGUGGUAGAGGCGAGUGGAAUUCCCGGUGUAGCGGUGAAAUGCGCAGAUAUCGGGAGGAACACCAGUAGCGAAGGCGGCUCGCUGGGCCACACCUGACGCUGAGACGCGAAAGCGUGGGGAGCAAACAGGAUUAGAUACCCUCGUAGUCC
rnacentral:rRNA from 1 species